rnacentral:rRNA from 1 species
GAUGAACGCUGGCGGCGUGCCUAAUACAUGCAAGUAGAACGCUGAAGCUUGGUGCUUGCACCGAGCGGAUGAGUUGCGAACGGGUGAGUAACGCGUAGGUAACCUGCCUCUUAGCGGGGGAUAACUAUUGGAAACGAUAGCUAAUACCGCAUAAAAGUCGAUAUCGCAUGAUAUUGAUUUGAAAGGUGCAAAUGCAUCACUAAGAGAUGGACCUGCGUUGUAUUAGCUAGUUGGUGAGGUAACGGCUCACCAAGGCGACGAUACAUAGCCGACCUGAGAGGGGGAUCGGCCAAACUGGGACUGAGACACGGCCCAGACUCCUACGGGAGGCAGCAGUAGGGAAUCUUCGGCAAUGGGGGCAACCCUGACCGAGCAACGCCGCGUGAGUGAAGAAGGUUUUCGGAUCGUAAAGCUCUGUUGUAAGAGAAGAACGAGUGUGAGAGUGGAAAGUUCACACUGUGACGGUAACUUACCAGAAAGGGACGGCUAACUACGUG